ACGAACGCUGGCGGCGUGCCUAAUACAUGCAAGUCGAACGAGAGCGACCGGUGCUUGCACUGGUCAAUCUAGUGGCGAACGGGUGAGUAACACGUGGGUAACCUGCCCAUCAGCGGGGGAUAACAUCCGGAAACGGAUGCUAAAACCGCAUAGGUCUUCGAGCCGCAUGGCUUGAAGAGGAAAAGAGGCGCAAGCUUCUGCUGAUGGAUGGACCCGCGGUGCAUUAGCUAGUUGGUGAGGUAACGGCUCACCAAGGCCGUGAUGCAUAGCCGACCUGAGAGGGUGAUCGGCCACAUUGGGACUGAGACACGGCCCAAACUCCUACGGGAGGCAGCAGUAGGGAAUCUUCCGCAAUGGAUGCAAGUCUGACGGAGCAACGCCGCGUGAGUGAAGAAGGUUUUCGGAUCGUAAAACUCUGUUGUUAGAGAAGAACAAGUGCUAGAGUAACUGUUAGCGCCUUGACGGUAUCUAACCAGAAAGCCACGGCUAACUACGUG
rnacentral:rRNA from 1 species